UGGAUCAGAACGAACGCUGUUCGGCGUGCCUAAAGCAUGCAAGUCGAACGCACUGCCUUCGGGCAGUGAGUGGCUGUUUCGCCUGAGGAACACGUGGGUACCUGCCCUCUCGUGGGGGAUAACGCGGCGAAAGCCACGCUAAGCCCGCAUACGCUCACCGCAAGGUGAGGAAAACUUGUAAAAGUGCGGGAGGAGGGACCUGCGGCCCAUCAGGUAGUCGGCGGGGUAACGGCCCACCGAGCCGAUGACGGGUAGCUGGUCUGUGAGGACAGACAGCCAUAUUGGGACUGAGACACGGCCCAAACUCCUUUUGUAGGCACCAGUGGGA
rnacentral:rRNA from 1 species